AACGAACGCUGGCGGCAUGCCUAACACAUGCAAGUCGAACGAAGGCUUCGGCCUUAGUGGCGCACGGGUGCGUAACGCGUGAGUAACCUGCCCUUGACUCUGGGAUAACAGAUGGAAACGUCUGCUAAUACCGGAUACUCAGCCUUGUGGGCAUCCACAGGGUUGGAAAGCUCCGGCGGUCAAGGAUGGACUCGCGUCCUAUCAGCUAGUUGGUGGGGUAACGGCCUACCAAGGCGACGACGGGUAGCCGGCCUGAGAUGGGCGACCGGCCACAUUGGGACUGAGAUACGGCCCAGACUCCUACGGGAGGCAGCAGUGGGGAAUAUUGCACAAUGGGCGAAAGCCUGAUGCAGCAACGCCGCGUGCGGGAUGACGGCCUUCGGGUUGUAAACCGCUUUCAGCAGGGACGAAGCGCAAGUGACGGUACCUGCAAAAGAAGCACCGGCUAACUACGUGCCAGCAGCCGCCGUAA
rnacentral:rRNA from 1 species